rnacentral:rRNA from 1 species
GUGGGCCCUCGAAAUCCUGUGGCGGGAGGAUUCAGUCUGAAGUUGGUGUCGCGCUGGUCGGAAACCUAGGAAGGGCUUCCCAUGAUCGGGGCCGUCCGACCGCGAGCUUCAUCAAGGCCAGACGCAUUUGACUCCCGCUCGAAGGACGUCGCAGCCGGUGGGGCAGUGCAAACGUGACGGCCUGAAAGGCGGGCGACGGCAGGUGGCCGGUGGCGCGCUUCGGUGCGUCGCCGGUUGUUAGCCGGCCCGUCGGUGGCACGUCGCCCCACCGAGGUAACGAGAUGCCCUCCGGGGCGUUUCCGCCUCCUCCUCAGCUGAGACGCGGGACUGGUUGUUGCGAGCGAUGGCAGCCGCGCGGCCGCACUCUUCCGGAGUGGGCCAGCGUCUAGUCGGCGCCGGCGGCGACGACGGACCCGUUGGAGGUUGGAGGUUUGCGGCGAGUAGGUCGGUCACCCACCCGACCCGUCUUGAAACACGGACCAAGGAGUCUAACAUGUGCGCGAGUCAAUGGGUCUCGAAUAAGCCCAGAGGCGCAAUGAAAGCGAAGGUCGGCGCCACGCCGACCGAGUCGGGAUCCCGCGUCUCUAGGCGCGGGCGCACCGACGACCCGUCCUGUGCUGCUUGCAGCUUGGGCGGAGUGUGAGCGUACACGUUGGGACCCGAAAGAUGGUGAACUAUGCCCUGACAGGACGAGGCCAGAGGAAACUCUGGUGGA